rnacentral:sRNA from 1 species
AGUGGCCACUAGCAACACAUGCUGUUGCCUAGCUGAGCUCAGCUCAUCUUUACCUCCCCACUGUGUGUCCAGCCACCAGCUUACCGAAAUGUCAGAGCUAUCCUCUCCACUUCCUAGUGGCCAAGAAACUUCUCCUCUUAUAGAGAGAUCAAGGGAGUAAAGAGACAGAGAGAACCAAGUGUUUUGUGUUGUAGACCACACUCCCUUUUGCAAAGAACACACACAAGAUUCCUAAUCGUCUCCUCUCCUUGCUUUGUUGUUGCUAUGGUUUGCCACCAUCACAAGCAACCUUGUGCAUUAGUUAGAUCCAGAAUUCCAGAUCUCUCACUUCUUUCUCAGUAGGCAAGCACAUAAUCUUGUAUAGGGUAGUAUAUUUAUUUGUUUUCAUUGCUGUUUCUGUUGCUCUCAGUCCAUAUCUGUCAGUGGGUCAGUAUUGCAUCUGCCUUUUUUUUUCUCUCUCUCUUCAUCGAUCUUUAUAGAUUUGUUUGGGUGAUGCCUGGGCGCAGUGGUUUAUCGAUCUCUUCCCUGCCUUGUGCUGCUCCGAUCGAUGCCCGUGCUGAUUCUUGAUAAUAUACAACGCAGGAAUCGAUCGAUAAGCCUCUGCAUCCAGAUCUCACUUUUUGUUUAUGCGUAUGAGCCGGUACAGGUUGCCUCUUUGUUCUUGUUUUAUAGGGAUAUAAUCACUGAUUGAUAUAUUUCUUGGGAGUUUAGUUUUUGUUCUAUGUGCUAGAAGUAUCUCUUGAUAUUGGAUAGCAAGAUUUGCCCCUUUUCUUAAAAAAAAAAAGUGGAUAGCAAGAUGCUGUCUUCCAAUUAACCCGCCUUGUGAUAGUUUCUCUUGUUAUUUUAUCAUAUCCUUAACUGCUGCGUAUGAAUAUAUACAGCUCGAUUAAUGGAUCGUUUUUUGUACAGGCAAUAGCUUGCUUUAGCUUAACAAAUAUCCUCAUAUUGCUGCUGCCACUUUUGCAAGCUUGUUUUGUAAAUUACAUUUGGAUAGUUGGUUAUGCAUUUGUGAGUUGUGACAAAUUACAUAAAGUUAUGGAUGAUGUAUUGAUG